AUGGUCAGCGUCACCGAGCUCUACCCAUUAUCCCUGGAGAUCGUAAACCGACCCUUGGCCGAUGGCGCGUUCUCGGUAUGUAUCCUGAAAGGGCUCCGGGCGGCCGUGACCCUGCUGGAGUGUGGGGGCAACCUCCAGCCACCCGGGGGGUCCCUGACGUUGCAGUGCCGAGGGUCCGGGUUUGAUUUUGGCCAUUUUGGGAUGGCCUGGAUCCGCCAGAGACCUGGGCAGGGGCUGGAGUGGGUCAGAACCAUCACCAGCAGUGUUGGCAGCACCUGGUACGCGGAUUCCGUCAAGGGCCGUUUCGGGAUCUCCAGGGACAACGGGAAGAGCUCGGUGACGCUGACCAUGAACAACCUCAAGGAUGAGGAUUCCGCAUCCUAUUUCUGUGCCAAGGACACCGAUGGUCACAGUGUCAGCGCUAGGCCUGUGGCUGGGGACACGAAUUCAGUCACCGAGAGCAGGGACGAGGGCUGGGAUUAA